GGGCCCGUAAUGGUUUCGACGGGGAUUUUGAGGCGUGAUAAGCGUGGCGGGUCGAGCAAUCCCGAAAAAGGCUCAACUUAAAAUUAAACGCUAACAAUAAUAGAGUAGCUCUGGCUGCCUAAUUAGGCAGUGCUGCGGCCAUAAGUGCCGCCCGUUCCUUGGUUGAGUAUCGCGGCUUCCAACGAGCGUCAAAUCAGCGGUGAACGUGCAUCGGCCUUUCGUCCUUGAGCCGAUCACGCACAAAAGGGCUGCCCCAAGAACGAGCCUGUCCGUCGGCGCGUUUGCGGGGGAGAAUCAAAAGACGAACUGCCCACGGAGAAGGUCACGUCAAGAGGUUUUCGGACAGGGGUUCGACUCCCCUCGGGUCCACCA
rnacentral:tmRNA from 1 species